GAUGAACGCUAGCUACAGGCUUAACACAUGCAAGUCGAGGGACCGGCGCAGGGGUGAGUAACACGUAUCCAAACUGCCCUUUACUCGGAGAUAGCCUUUAGAAAGAGAGAUUAAUAACCAAUAUAAAGGAUGGGGAUGAGAUCAAUUAGGUGGUUGGUGAGGUAACGGCCCACCAAGCCUUCGAUGGAUAGGGGUUCUGAGAGGAAGGUCCCCCACAUUGGAACUGAGACCCGGUCCAAACUCCUACGGGAGGCAGCAGUGAGGAAUAUUGUUCACUGGGCGUUAGCCUGAACCAGCCAAGUAGCUUGAAGGAUGAAGGCUUAUGGGUCUUAAACUUCUUUUAUAUAAGAAUAUUUAUUAUAUGAAUAAGGAUCGGCUAACUCCGUGCCAGCAGCCGCGGUAAUUC
rnacentral:rRNA from 1 species